CCUACGGGUGGCAGCAGUGAGGAAUAUUGGUCAAUGGGCGUGAGCCUGAACCAGCCAAGUCGCGUGAGGGAUGAAGGUUCUAUGGAUCGUAAACCUCUUUUAUAAGGGAAUAAAGUGUGGGACGUGUCCUUUUUUGUAUGUACCUUAUGAAUAAGGAUCGGCUAACUCCGUGCCAGCAGCCGCGGUAAUACGGAGGAUCCGAGCGUUAUCCGGAUUUAUUGGGUUUAAAGGGUGCGUAGGUGGGCUUUUAAGUCAGCGGUGAAAGUUUGUGGCUCAACCAUAAAAUUGCAGUUGAUACUGGCAGGCUUGAGUAUGUUUGAGGUAGGCGGAAUGCGUGGUGUAGCGGUGAAAUGCUUAGAUAUCACGAAGAACUCCGAUUGCGAAGGCAGCCUGCUAAGCCAUCACUGACGCUGAUGCACGAAAGCGUGGGGAUCAAACAGGAUUAGAUACCCUUGUAGUC
rnacentral:rRNA from 1 species